AUGGGCAAGUACAUGCGCAAGCCCAAGGUCUCCGGCGAGGUGGCCGUCAUGGAGGUCGCCGCCGCGCCGCUGGGGGUCCGCACCCGCGCGCGGGCGCUCGCGAUGCAGAGGCAGCCGCAGGGGGCGCCGGGGGCCAAGGACCAGGGGGAGUACCUGGAGCUCAGGAGCCGGAAGCUCGAGAAGCUGCCCCCGCCGCCGCCGCCGGCGAGGAGGAGGGCGGCCGCGGCGAAGCGUGUCGAGGCCGAGGCCGAGGCCGACGAGGUGUCCUUCGGGGAGAACGUGCUCGAGCCGGAGGCCAUGGGGAGGGGUACCAGGGAGACGACGCCCUGCAGCUUGAUUAGGGACUCGGGAAUGAUAAGCACUCCUGGAUCCACAACAAGACCGAGCCACUCGAAUUCCCAUCGCAGGGUGCAAGCUCCAGCGCGCCAUAUUAUUCCAAGUUCAGCAGAGAUGAAUGAGUUCUUCUCUGCUGCGGAGCAACCGCAACAGCAAGCCUUCAUCGACAAUGAAGAAUGCCAACUCAGCGUGCAAUGUGGUUUUGACACGUACAACUUUGAUCCUGUGAACGACUGUCCUCUCCCAGGCCGAUACGAGUGGGUGAAGCUAGACUGA
rnacentral:rRNA from 1 species